rnacentral:rRNA from 1 species
GUCUAUGGCUGUAGCAGCCUGAACCUGCCCCAUCUCGUCUGAUCUCAGAAGCUAGGCAGGGUCAGGCCUGCUCAGUACUUGGCUGGGAGAAAAAGACAGCUUUCCUAGACA